UACGUAGGGUGCGAGCGUUGUCCGGAAUUAUUGGGCGUAAAGAGCUCGUAGGCGGUCUGUCGCGUCGAUCGUGAAAACUUGGGGCUUAACCCUGAGCUUGCGGUCGAUACUGUCCGACUCGAAGGCAGGAGAGGGAAGCGGAAUUCCCGGUGUAGUGGUGAAAUGCGUAGAGAUCUGGAAGAACACCAAAGGCGAAGGCAGCAUCCUGGGAAGUUCCUGACGCUCGGGUGCGAAAGCCAGGGGAGCGAACGGG
rnacentral:rRNA from 1 species